AGAACGAACGCUGGCGGCAUGCCUAAUACAUGCAAGUCGAACGAACUCUUCGGAGUUAGUGGCGCACGGGUGCGUAACGCGUGGGAAUCUGCCCCUUGGUUCGGAAUAUCAGUUGGAAACGAUUGACUAAUACCGGAUGAUGAACGAAAGUCCAAAGAUUUAUCGCCAAGGGAUGAGCCCGCGUAGGAUUAGCUAGUUGGUGAGGUAAAGGCUCACCAAGGCAACGAUCCUUAGCUGGUCUGAGAGGAUGAUCAGCCACACUGGGACUGACGACACCGGGCCAGACCUCCGUACGGGAGCAGCGAAGGAAGGGAAUAGUGGAACAAGUGGGACGAAAGCCUAGACUACCAG
rnacentral:rRNA from 1 species